AAGCGGCAGCGUCUGCGCGGCCAUGGGUAGGUGCGUACGUGUGUUCUCGUGUGCAGGGUGAACACACGUGCCCAGGCGUGUUUACACGUGCAUACAGCUGCCAACAUGUCUGUGAGUACAGGUGAGUGGUACGUGUCUGUCCUCAUAUGCAGGGUGAACACACGUGGCCAGGUGUGUUUAUGAGGGCAUAGAAGUGCCAAUAUGUGUGUGCGUGUGAGCACAGGUGAGUGCAGGUGGGUACGUAAUGUGUGUCCCCAUGUGCAGAUGAGCACAUACACGUGUGUCAGAGUGAACACGUGCCCAGGUGUGUUUACACGAGCACACAAGUGCCAACAUGCAUGUGAGCACAGGUGAGUACAGGUGUGUGAGCACAUACAUGUGCAGGUGAGCUACAAGUGAGAUACACGUGGGGCGACACACCUCUGCGUGGAGGUGAUGUGUGGGUGCUGGUAGGCACCUCUGUGUGUGUGCGUGCGUGCGCGCGUGUUCAAGUACAGGUGAAGCUCACACGUGUUCACACAUGUCCCCCUUCUCGUGCUCCCCGCGAUUCCGGCGGUUCCCGGCCGGUUCCCGGCACCGCUGACGCGAUUUCCCCCCGCCGGCGGGGACGUCGGGGGUUUGGGGACGAAAAACGGCCGAUUCGGGGAUGUACAUCUCCUGCCGGCGGGAACCAACUGUAACCUACUUGAGCGGGGGAGUUAUGGGGUGGAGGUGACUCUAAUUGCUCAAUAAUUUGAUUAAAAUGACAGUUAACGGCGCUUCGGCGGCUCUUUCGCGGCAGCCAAACUCAUCCCAAAUCCCGCCGCACUCCGAACCCCUGCGACCCCCCGGAGCGCUUUUGGGGCUCCCUCUCCUUCCCGAAAUCCCCCCAUUAAGCCGAACUCGUGCUGUCCAGGCCCGAAUUCCCUGUUGGAGCACGGGGCUGAGCCGGGAAUAGCGCGGGAGCGGAGCCAAAUCGUGACGGCGGAACAUCUGCACCCUGGCUUGAACAAGAUACUCCACAGACACAACGACCUUCAAGCCCAGAACUUUGGAGGAGCUCCAAAGACUGGACGUGCUUUGAGGAAGAUGAAGACAAGAAAGAGGGGGUCCCAGAGCCCCCUGCCUCAAUUUCCAGAGGGGUGUGCCAGGAGGAGGAUCUGGGGGGUGGAUAGAUCUGGGACUGGUUUGGAUAAUACCUUAAAUUGUGGAACCCCGUGGACACGGCAGGCGUGUCAUAUGUAUUCACUGGGCCUCAGGCCUGAAAUUAAAGGACCUACUCUCUUUA